rnacentral:rRNA from 1 species
GGGAGGAACGGCCCCCCAGGGGGGGUUCCUAGGGGGUUUGGAGGCAUUCUCCGCCACCCCGGGAUGGGACCCGUCCCGACUCCUUCGGAGGCAGCAUUGGGGAAAUUUGCCAAUGGUCCCAGCCUGAUCCAGCCAUGACGAGGGUUGAAGAAGGCCUUGGGUUGAAAGCACUUUCAGCGAGGAGGAAAGGUUGAUGCUUAAUACGUAUCAGCUGUGACGUUACUUGCAGAAGAAGCCCCGGUUAAUUCCGUGCCAGCAGCGCGGUAAUACGGAGGGUGCAAGCGUUAAUCGGAAUUACUGGGCGUAAAGCGCACGCAGGCGGCUUGUUAAGUUAGAUGUGAAAGCCCCGGGCUUAACCUGGGAAUUGCAUUUACGACUGGCAAGCUAGAGUCUUGGAGAGGGGGGUGGAAUUUCCGGUGUAGCGGUGAAAUGCGUAGAGAUCGGAAGGAACAUCAAUGGCGAAGGCAACCCCCUGGCCAAAGACUGACGCUCAGGUGCGAAAGCGUGGGGAGCAAACAGGAUUAGAUACCUUGGUAGUCCACGCCGUAAACGAUGUCAACUUGGAGUUCGUGUUCUUGAAACGUGGACUCCGGAGUUAACGCGUUAAGUUGACCGCUUGGGGAGUACGGCCGCAAGGUUAAAACUCAAAUGAAUUGACGGGGGCCCGCACAAGCGGUGGAGCAUGUGGUUUAAUUCGAUGCAACGCGAAGAACCUUACCUACUCUUGACAUCUAGCGAACUUGGUAGAGAUACCUUGGUGCCUUCGGGAACGCUAAGACAGGUGCUGCAUGGCUGUCGUCAGCUCGUGUUGUGAAAUGUUGGGUUAAGUCCCGCAACGAGCGCAACCCUUAUCCUUUGUCGCCAGCACAUAAUGGUGGGAACUCAAAGGAGACUGCCGGUGAUAAACCGGAGGAAGGUGGUGACGACGUCAAGUCAUCAUGGCCCUUACGAGUAGGGCUACACACGUGCUACAAUGGCGCGUACAGAGGGAAGCAAGCUAGCGAUAGUAAGCGGAUCCCAAAAAGCGCGUCGUAGUCCGGAUCGGAGUCUGCAACUCGACUCCGUGAAGUCGGAAUCGCUAGUAAUCGUGGAUCAGAAUGCCACGGUGAAUACGUUCCCGGGCCUUGUACACACCGCCCAGUUCACACCAUGGGAGUGGGCUGACACGCAGAACAGUAGUAUAGCUUAACCUUCG